rnacentral:rRNA from 1 species
GAUGAACGCUGGCGGCGUGCUUAACACAUGCAAGUCGAACGAUGAAGCCCAGCUUGCUGGGUGGAUUAGUGGCGAACGGGUGAGUAACACGUGAGUAACCUGCCCUUGACUCUGGGAUAAGCGCUGGAAACGGCGUCUAAUACCGGAUACGAGCUUCCACCGCAUGGUGAGUUGCUGGAAAGAAUUUCGGUCAAGGAUGGACUCGCGGCCUAUCAGGUAGUUGGUGAGGUAACGGCUCACCAAGCCGACGACGGGUAGCCGGCCUGAGAGGGUGACCGGCCACACUGGGACUGAGACACGGCCCAGACUCCUACGGGAGGCAGCAGUGGGGAAUAUUGCACAAUGGGCGCAAGCCUGAUGCAGCUACGCCGCGUGAGGGACGAAGGCCUUCGGGUCGUAAACCUCUUUUAGCAGGGAAGAAGCGAAAGUGACGGUACCUGCAGAAAAAGCACCGGCUAACUACGUG